GAUGAACGCUAGCUACAGGCUUAACACAUGCAAGUCGAGGGGAAACGAUAUUGGAAGCUUGCUUCCGAUAGGCGUCGACCGGCGCACGGGUGAGUAACGCGUAUCCAACCUGCCCACCACUUGGGGAUAACCUUGCGAAAGUAAGACUAAUACCCAAUGAUAUCUCUAGAAGACAUCUGAAGGAGAUUAAAGAUUUAUCGGUGAUGGAUGGGGAUGCGUCUGAUUAGCUUGUUGGCGGGGUAACGGCCCACCAAGGCGACGAUCAGUAGGGGUUCUGAGAGGAAGGUCCCCCACAUUGGAACUGAGGCACGGUCCAAACUCCUACGGGAGGCAGCAGUGAGGAAUAUUGGUCAAUGGACGAGAGUCUGAACCAGCCAAGUAGCGUGCAGGAUGACGGCCCUAUGGGUUGUAAACUGCUUUUAUAAGGGAAUAAAGUGAGCCUCGUGAGGCUUUUUGCAUGUACCUUAUGAAUAAGGACCGGCUAAUUCCGUGCCAGCAGCCGCCGCGU
rnacentral:rRNA from 1 species